AGAACAUCACAUCAAGAAGGCCCUUAGUAAAUGUGGUCAUCCCACCUGGACAUUUGUCAAAGCUGGGAAAAAAGACCAGAAAUAUACCAUCCAGGUGCCAGUGGUGAAUUCACAUGCCAGAGAGUAAGAAGACAUCUUAUUUUAAAUAUGAAGAUGAUUUUGAUCUACAUCAUCAUCGCAACUCCAGCAAUGACCGCUGUGCCACAAGGGUCUUCAGAAUGCAAUCUAACUGAACCUGGACCCCAGACGUGUUUUGGAGUUUUAGGAGAACCACUCGUUUUUUACAUACCUACUAAACCACAUAUGAAGACAAGCUUGAAAAAGAGUACAGAAAAAAUUUUAACCUUAAUAAAUGAUACAUUAAUUAGUCUCAAUGAAAAAUACAAGAAUCGUACUAUAUUUUUCCCAAAUGGAACAUUGAAACUCGAAAAAGCAACAAAAAAUGACUCUGGAGAGUACAGCAUGGAAACACACAGUUCUACUGACGGUGUGUUAUUGCACACAGUUAACAUCCAUCUACAUAUACUCGCUCCUGUGUCAGAACCAGCUGUUAUGCAGAUGUGUUUGUCACCAAAACAGAUGACAGUCAGCUGUUUCUCUGAAGGAGAUGAAGUAGAGCUCAUUUUGUCUUUGGAUGAUAAGUUGUUGAUACAGACUACAGCCAACAGUACAGAAAACAACAGCGUUUCAAAUGUUACCAUCAACUUACCUGGUCAGCUAAUGGGAAACCUGACAUGUGUUGCUCAAAACAAUGCCAGCAGAAAACAAACUAUCACCCACCUUACAAGCUGCACAGCUCCUGUGUCAGAACCAGCUGUUUUGCAGAUGUGUUUGUCACCACAACAGAUGACAGUCAGCUGCUCCUCUGAAGGAGAUGAAGUAGAGUUCACCUUGUUUUUGGAUGAUAACUUGUUGAUAAAAACCCAACCUAGCAUUGCAGAAAACCGCAACAUUUCAAAUGUUUCUAUCAGUUUACAUGGUCAGCUGCUGGGAAAGCUGAUGUGUAUCGUCCAAAACAAUAUAAGCAGAGAACAAACCAUCAUCCACCUUAUAAGCUGCACAGGUAAUAUUUCUGACCACUGCAUUGUGACUGUGGCUGUGGUAGUAAGCGCUGUUGCCAUUCUACUCAUUCUGGCUGUGUUUCUUGGUAUCCGGAAAUUCAAAAACACAACUGGCAUUAUGACUGUUAAUGAAGAUGAAGCUGAAGAGGACGUUGUCUACUCAGAUAUUAGACUGAAGCAGCUUGCAAGAGAAUCAAGAGAAACACCACCUAUUUCAAAUCAAGAUGAAAGUUAACAUUCUCCUAAACAGUCUGACAUUCUGAAACCUAAACCCUAACAUGUUGACUUUCAGUCAACUGUCUAAUAAAACUAUGGCACUUUAGCAAUUCCAUCUUUGCAGUGAACGUGAAGGUAAACAUAUUUAACAAGUACUCACUGGAUUAUUAAUUUUGAAGGAAACAUAAAGGGGGGGAAAGUUAUUUAGAAGGCAUUUGA
ensembl:lncRNA